AUUGAACGCUGGCGGCAUGCCUUACACAUGCAAGUCGAACGGUAACGGGCCUUCGGGUGCCGACGAGUGGCGAACGGGUGAGUAAUGUAUCGGAACGUACCUUUCAGUGGGGGAUAACGUAGCGAAAGUUACGCUAAUACCGCAUACUCUGUGAGCAGGAAAGCAGGGGAUCGCAAGACCUUGUGCUGAUUGAGCGGGCGAUGUCAGAUUAGCUAGUUGGUGAGGUAAAGGCUCACCAAGGCGACGAUCUGUAGCGGGUCUGAGAGGAUGAUCCGCCACACUGGGACUGAGACACGGCCCAGACUCCUACGGGAGGCAGCAGUGGGGAAUUUUGGACAAUGGGGGCAACCCUGAUCCAGCCAUGCCGCGUGAGUGAAGAAGGCCUUCGGGUUGUAAAGCUCUUUCGGCCGGGAAGAAAUCGCACAGGCUAAUACCUUGUGUGGAUGACGGUACCGGAAUAAGAAGCACCGGCUAACUACGUGCCAGCCGCCGCAGUAAAAC
rnacentral:rRNA from 1 species